rnacentral:rRNA from 1 species
UGGGGAAUUUUGGACAAUGGGCGAAAGCCCGAUCCAGCAAUGCCGCGUGUGUGAAGAAGGCCUUCGGGUUGUAAAGCACUUUUGUCCGGAAAGAAAUCCUUGGCUCUAAUACAGUCGGGGGAUGACGGUACCGGAAGAAUAAGCACCGGCUAACUACGUGCCAGCAGCCGCGGUAAUACGUAGGGUGCAAGCGUUAAUCGGAAUUACUGGGCGUAAAGCGUGCGCAGGCGGUUUGCUAAGACCGAUGUGAAAUCCCCGGGCUCAACCUGGGAACUGCAUUGGUGACUGGCAGGCUAGAGUAUGGCAGAGGGGGGUAGAAUUCCACGUGUAGCAGUGAAAUGCGUAGAGAUGUGGAGGAAUACCGAUGGCGAAGGCAGCCCCCUGGGCCAAUACUGACGCUCAUGCACGAAAGCGUGGGGAGCAAACAGGAUUAGAUACCCUGGUAGUCCACGCCCUAAACGAUGUCAACUAGUUGUUGGGGAUUCAUUUCCUUAGUAACGUAGCUAACGCGUGAAGUUGACCGCCUGGGGAGUACGGUCGCAAGAUUAAAACUUAAAUGAAUUGACGGGGUCAUAGCUGUUUCCU